CAAUAGCGUAUAUUUAAGUUGUUGCAGUUAAAGAGCUCGUAGUCGGAUUUUGGCUGAGAACGAUCGGUCCGCCGUUAGGUGUGCACUGAUUGGUCUCAGCUUCCUGGUGAGGAGGUGUGCUUCACGGCCACUUAGUCACCGUGGUUACUUUGAAAAAAUUAGAGUGUUCAAAGCGGGCUUACGCUUGAAUAUAUUAGCAUGGAAUAACACCAUAGGACUCCUGUCCUAUUUCGUUGGUCUCGGGACGGGAGUAAUGAUUAAGAGGAACAGUUGGGGGCAUUCGUAUUUCAUUGUCAGAGGUGAAAUUCUUGGAUUUAUGAAAGACGAACUUCUGCGAAAGCAUUUGCCAAGGAUGUUUUCAUUGA
rnacentral:rRNA from 1 species